CUCUAUUUGCCCACAAAUCGGCAUUACGUGCCCCAUUCGAUUGACUGUCGAUGUCUCACAGGUGUUUUACAUCUCGAGACUCGAUGUCCCUGAGGAAUGC
rnacentral:misc_RNA from 1 species